rnacentral:rRNA from 1 species
CUCUUUUAGAAAGUAAAUAAAAGUAAAUUCUGCUCAAUGAUUAAUUAAAUAGCUACAUAAUUUGUACUAAGGUAGCAUUAUCAAUUGUCUAUUAAAUGUGGUCUUGUAUGAAAGAAUAAAUAAUUAAUUUCUUUAUUUUUAAUAAUUUUUGAAUUUAAAUUUUUAGUUAAAAUGCUAAAAUAUAUUAUAGGGACAAGAAGACCCUAUAAAGCUUUUAAUGAUAAUUAUAAUAUUUAUUAUAUUAAAUUUUUAAUUGGGUUAAUUAUUUAUGAAUAAAAUAUAAAUUUAAAUAUAAUAAUUUUUUAGUGAUCCUAUAUGAUAGAAAAUUGAAUAAGUUACUUUAGGGAUAACAGUAUAAUUUUUAUUUAUAAGUCCAAAUUUACAAUAAAGAUUGUAACCUCGAUGUUGAAUUAAUUUUAUUUUAUGGAGAAGGAUCUAUAUUAUAAUAUGACUGUUUGUCAAUUAAAAAGUUACA